rnacentral:lncRNA from 1 species
UUUCAUUUGCCACAUAAAGCGCCAAAUAAGUGUUUGCAAUAAAAAUACAGGCCUGGGAAGAAUGUGUUUUGCCAAUUACAGUGUAACACGGGCUACAAAGAAGUGUUCAGACUGGAGUCCAGUAUGGAUGUUAGCAGAUUAGUAUCAGGUUACAGCAGGGAAGAGGGUGCAUUAAUUUGCCAAAUAACCAGUAUGGUUUUAUCCUGUAUUUGCAAGCAAAAUCGCUGCCUCCGAAAGAAAAGCGACGGGUGCGAUUUAUGCAAAAUAAAUUCAGCCAAGGGAAGCAGGCAGGGCCCUGCUUGACAAUAAACCAGCGCACGAGGACUGCAAAACACUGAUUGAUAGUUGCCAAUCCCUUCAGCCGGUGCUUGCCACAUUUAGCUCCUCCAGUUGGCCAAUACCGGCGGGGGGGGGGAACAGGGGAUUAAAGCUUUUGUAGCAGAAGUGGUACAAGCCACACUGGGCCCCGUGGUAGCAAUUCAGGGUGCUCUUUCGUCUAUUGCUCAAGAGCCUGCACGGUUCACACUGUUCCUUUUUUUUUUGAGUUUCACAUCGCAGAAAAAACAAAACAAAACAGUUAUUUUUCAAUGCAACUUUUAUUUCAGCCUCAGCACUGAAAGCCUGCGCCYGCAUCUACACUUCAGCCUUAGUCCGGUGACGGUCUUGAAAUAAAGCCUGGCCUCCCGCUCGCCAAAAACACGCAAAGCAAGAACCGGGGUCCCGCGCUUCGCUUCCUCGCGGCCCGUUUUCUGCCUCCUUUCGCUGAAAAAACCACCUGCUCCGCGGCGAUGGCAAAAAGCGGCUCGUUCGCAUGGAAGCAGCGCGAAGCAGCCGGCCAAGAGGCAGCGGCGGACGCUCAGGAAGCCCACUUGGCUCUGUUUCCUGCUAACAUGCGGCCCUGGCUCGCAAAAUCUCUGAGAACAACAGGCCUGAGACUGCUCGGCUCCGUUAAAAAAACUGGCAGCUUUUCAAGCCCUGACAGAAAACCUUUGAAAGCGCUGGAUUUCCUCCAGCUAACGUACGAGGCUCCUCCGCCGGUGACAAAUUAGACCGAAACGGCACAAAAUGCUCCUAUGUAAAUAGGCUUUUUUUUUUUUUUUCCCCCUGCGUUCAGCCUUUUAAUAGUUCAGCCAUUAUUUAUAGUUAUUCCUCUGGAUGGAAAAAUAUUUUUACAUUUUUCCAAAGAUGGGGUCUAGUGAAAUGUUUUCCUUGUUUGUUUGGKUUUUUUUUUUUUCUUUCUUUUUCCUUCGAGAUUUUUGUGACAGUUUUCUUUUAGGCUCCAGGAGCAACCUUUCCUUCCUGGAAACCGGGACAAAAUGGCUGUUGUGAGKUUUUUUUUCAGUAAAAGGCCUGUGUCAGCGCUGAGCACAAGUCCCUGCUAGUCCACAACUAUUAAAUAAUAGUUAUAACAGGCCCAACUGACUUCUGAUCUCCUGAGAGGCAGCAGAAGAGGUCAGCUGUGCUUUAUCGGUUCCUUUAGCCGUGAGUUUUACGCACCAGGUUAGUAAAAGAAKUAUUUUAUGUUUUCUUGUCGACUUUUCCCUGCAAUUCCAAAGGGAGUUCUGCUUCCAAAAAUGAGUUGAAGUAUCAGAAUAGAUGUGACCUUUUAUGCYGAGAAUGCUGUUUUUCUCCUGAGUUGACAUUUUCACCAUCGUCUAGGAAACCUUAACCUGAAGUGACUUCUCGUGUCCAUCAGUAAUAAUGGCUUGGAGUCAUGGAUGGUAACUCCAGRCCAUGAGAGCUAAGCAUUUUCCGAGUUUCCUGGGAGUAUUUCCAAUAGUCUCAUCUUUGUCUGRGUAGUCAUCACCUUACGGGUAAGUUAUUGCCCUGGGCAUGAGCGAGAACUGCCCGUAAUGUUGACCUGCCUCUCUAAUCUCAGUAUUUAACUCAGAUUUUGCAGGAACAAGGUGGUUGCAAGGAGCAGGUUCACCAGAGCAAUCGGACUUCCCUGCCCUGCCCUUUUUCUUGCUACCUGGGCAAUAACAUGUCUUUAUUCUCAUCUUAUUUUAAUCAUCUGCAGCUUGGGUGUCUGGACGCAGGAGCUGUAAGGCUCCCUGUGUACUCGAAGGAGCGAGCGAUGGACAGGUCAUCCCGCCCUGGGACCACGCAGCCAACUCUUGGACAGCAAAAGGCAAUGCCCAUUAACACUGCUGCAAUACUAAAGAUUUGAGGAGUUUCUUCAUAUAUUUUUCUUUCGUAUCUGUCAUGUCCCUGAACCACUAGAUUAUGCCUCAUAGAAAGAAAUAAAAUUCAUGCCCUCAGGUGGACCA